rnacentral:rRNA from 1 species
CAGCAGCCACGGUAAUACGGAGGGAGCUAGCGUUGUUCGGAAUUACUGGGCGUAAAGCGCGCGUAGGCGGUUACUCAAGUCAGAGGUGAAAGCCCGGGGCUCAACCCCGGAACUGCCUUUGAAACUAGGUGACUAGAAUCUUGGAGAGGUCAGUGGAAUUCCGAGUGUAGAGGCGAAAUUCGUAGAUAUUCGGAAGAACACCAGUGGCGAAGGCGACUGACUGGACAAGUAUUGACGCUGAGGUGCGAAAGCGUGGGGAGCAAACAGGAUUAGAUACCCCUGUAGUCCCUGUCUCUUAUAC